AAAUGAAUAGACGGGGGCCCGCACAAGCGGUGGAGCAUGUGGUUUAAUUCGACGCAACGCGCAGAACCUUACCAGGGCUUGACAUGGAGAGGACCGGACGAGAGAUCGUCCUUCUCCCGCAAGGGAGCCUCUCACACAGGUGCUGCAUGGCUGUCGUCAGCUCGUGUCGUGAGAUGUUGGGUUAAGUCCCGCAACGAGCGCAACCCUCGUUUCUAGUUGCCAUCAUUCAGUUGGGCACUCUAGAGAGACUGCCGCGAAUAACGCGGAGGAAGGUGGGGACGACGUCAAGUCAUCAUGGCCCUUACGUCCUGGGCUACACACGUGCUACAAUGGGUGUCACAGAGGGUCGCAAUAGCGCAAGCUGGAGCCAAUCCCCAAAAACAUCCUCAGUUCGGAUCGAGGUCUGCAACCCGACCUCGUGAAGGUGGAAUCGCUAGUAAUCGCGGAUCAGAACGCCGCGGUGAAUACGUUCCCGGGCCUUGUACACACCGCCCGU
rnacentral:rRNA from 1 species